ACGGACUUCUUUAAGUUACAUCAAAGUUUCAUGUCUAUAGAGUUAUCCCAUGAGAAGAUACAUUAAAACAUUUGAAAAAAUGGCUAGGGUUUUGUGAGAUACUGUAUAUGUACCAAUUUAGGUUAGGUGAACUUCUCACUGUUUCACAUAAUGAGUAAUGUGUUAAUUUUGUUUUGAAAGAUAAUUCCUACAAAUACUGAGUGAUGUAGUGGAUGGCUGGAAAGAAGAGAGGCAGCUUGAUGGACGAAGCGGCAGCUUCUGGUGCUACCGGCCUCACCAUCUCUCUCCUAAGCGCCCUCACUUCACUCCCCAGAUUGUCGUGCUGUUUUUCUUGGGGGGGGUGGUGCCUCGUCAUCAGUGUCCACACCUUGAAGCAUAUUUAACUCUAAAGGUCUGCACCUUCAAAAAAGUGUUGCGGCGGGCCCGUAGUGGUCUGGACUCUUCCAGCUGGCUCCUGCAGCUAACCAAGACCCUCACGUCACCGUGCACGUCCCACGCUGCACCUGGAGGAAGGUGGUGCGCGACUGCCUUCUGGAGGCGGUUAUGAUCGUAAGAACUAGGAGGCCAGAAACAAUUCCAUGACUCCCCUGCCUCCUCCAACCAGCUGCUUGGCACUAUGGUAGUGCUCCUAUCUUUGAAUUCGACGACCUUCCACACCUGUGCCAUCUGUCAAUGAGGUGAAUGAAAGAAAAUUGAAGAAUUGGCCAAAACUGAACUUUUGAACUCUUAAAAAUGGGUAAACCGUCGAUGUUGAAUUGUAACCGAAUUGUCUGAAGGCAGCUAGGCAAAUGGAUUGAAUUCAAUUUUGAUAAAAUUCCCUUAGCCAAUCCAAAAUGGUGAUAUUCACCACCACCUAAUGCAUGCACAGCUAUUUUCUUUAGUGUGCCAAGAAGUGUCCUGGCAUCUUUAGGCAGCUCAGAGUGGUGUACUCUCAAUAUUGAUAGAAGAGCGGUAACUGCAACAAGAGUAAUGCCAAAAGUUGAUGCCCAUUGCUUUAGUUUAGCUUGUAAACUCAUUUCCUCAGGCUCACUUUCAUCACAGCUGGAUAACCCACUAAAAUCCUCUCUUUCACUGGCAUCACUGUCUGUAGUGUUUUGGUCAGGACUGUUCUCG
ensembl:lncRNA